GCCUGGGUGGCUCAGUGGUUGAGUGUCUGCCUUUGGCUCAGGGCAUGAUCCUGGAGACUUGGGAUCGAGUCCCACAUCGGGCU
rnacentral:tRNA from 1 species